AACGAACGCUGGCGGCAGGCUUAACACAUGCAAGUCGAACGCCCCGCAAGGGGAGUGGCAGACGGGUGAGUAACGCGUGGGAAUCUACCCAGAUCUUCGGAACAACUGAGGGAAACUUCAGCUAAUACCGGAUACGCCCUACGGGGGAAAGAUUUAUCGGUUCUGGAUGAGCCCGCGUUGGAUUAGCUAGUUGGUGAGGUAAAGGCUCACCAAGGCGACGAUCCAUAGCUGGUCUGAGAGGAUGAUCAGCCACACUGGGACUGAGACACGGCCCAGACUCCUACGGGAGGCAGCAGUGGGGAAUAUUGGACAAUGGGCGAAAGCCUGAUCCAGCCAUGCCGCGUGAGUGAUGAAGGCCUUAGGGUUGUAAAGCUCUUUCAGUGGGGAAGAUAAUGACGGUACCCACAGAAGAAGCCCCGGCUAACUUCGUGCCAGCAGCCGCCGUAAGAC
rnacentral:rRNA from 1 species